UAUUUUCCACACAAACAAACACACACCAGAUAAUAAAUCAAAGGGAGAAAACUGUCAUUUGGCGCCAGCAACCACCGUAAAGACAAUUUUUAGAGAUAUUCUCACAUGGCCCUUUGUCUUGGGGAGAAUCAGGCAGCACAGGAGUUCGGGCUGGCUGCCGCUACCUUUUUACAAUAAUCCGCGUUGGCAGCUCCAGCUCCAGCAACGGCUCCAGCAAGGGCUCCAGCCCCCCCCCGAGUACUUGUAAAUUAUCGAUAAGCGCAUCGAUAGCUGCCCUGCACCUGACCAUAAAUCACGGUUUUUCUUUCGAAGCGCUCUUAUCAGGAGCUGCCCUACAUGCGCCCUACAUGCGAUAAGCGAAACGCACACAAAGAGGUAAUCGCUGACCCGAAAUCUCCUCGAAUUGCUUCAUUACAGGCCACAGUCCACCUCCUUUCCAGAGAACUUUUUGCCAUCCACUCGUAAAAAGAUAGCGAGCGGGGACGCUGGGACGAAGGGACGCAGGAACGCAGGAACGCAAGGACGGAGAAAAGGGCAAUCUCGCUUUGGAAUACAACAAGAGAACAACAGCAAACACGAUAAAUAACAGCUCGCAGCGGGUACCAGAGAGGCCGACUCGCGACCCUUUCUAGGGUCUGGUUCUGGCCCGUCUCUGGACCGUCUCUGGACCUUCUCUGGAUCGGGUGCGAUAAACAUCAAGCAUCGUUAGUCUUUCACUCCGUCUUUGAGACCAGUCUCGAGCUCCAACUCAAACCCCAUCUCCAUUUCCAUCUGGGUUCUUGUUUUGAUUGCCAGUCUUGCCUCUCUCUGUCUCAAGAGAGAAAGAGAAAGAGUGAGGGGCAGAUCUGGGUGGAUUCUCUGUGUGUUCUUAACGAGCUUGUACUUGGGCUAUCGAUUAAGCGAUUCCAAUCGCAUGGAUCCGACCAUUUUCACUUAUCCACCGGCUCCAGCAGGAAGCGCGUUAUUAAGUGUUUUAUAAUUUGCUCUACCAGAAGGAGCUUUGCUCCAAAAACUUCAUCAACUUAAUUUUGUUUACAAAUUACAGACGCUUGGGCAUGGAAGGAAAGGAGGAAGAGAUAAAACUGUCUUCUGCCUGCGGCUUAGUCAGCUGUCAGCACUUGAUAGUUGGCUGAAGGCCCU